rnacentral:lncRNA from 1 species
AUUCAGUGUUGCAUAAAGCUGGUCCUCCCUGCCUAAGCUUAACUAGUAGAGAAACCUCUAGGUUUGGAUGGAAGUGACAUGCUCUCCAGCCUCGGUAGAAGUCUCAUACAUAGAAACAUGCUCUGCCUCCAGGUUCCCAAUCUGACCCACAGUUCCAGAUUUGCCAAGUCUCACUCAUUUGGGUAGCAGACUCUCUCUUAAGUUAAGGCCAUUUAAAAAGUCUCUUCCUCUGGCAAUGAAGGAUUUUUCUGUUUUUUUUUUCCAAUGAGACAUUGAAUAUUUCAUGCCUAAACUUUAGGAAAUAUCCCUUGUUAAGUUGUCACUGCUUGACUGUUGUUUUUUUUUGCAAAAGAUGAAGUAGGUCCCUGUGUCUUCCACCAAAAUAAACAUUGACCACAGAGUUCAGAUUGGAGUUCAGAAAAGUGGAGUGCCUAAUGACCCUGAUUGGAAUUAGGACUCAUUUAACAGAUGGAGAAGCUGAGGUGUGGAGAGAAAAAGCAAUUUACCAGAUGUCAGAGUAACUCAAGGGCAGAGGGCUGAAUUUUCCAAGAAGCAGUUACCGCCAUCCAGUGCACCUUCAGGCAAACACUACAAGGUGGGAUUUACCAAAGGCUUAUGAAUGGUGAAGGCAGACUGAACAUCAAGCCCAUUGAGGAAGAGUGCAAGGUCUGCGCAGAACUUUCUACUGCAAAUGCAAAGCUUGUCUGUGCAGAAGACAGUUUGGGGGAACUAAUUCCCACAGGAGCUAAGAAGUCUCCAAGUCUAAGGUUACAUCCAGACUACCCGCCGAAUUGGCUAAACGCGAUAUAUCGAUCCCCGAACACGCUCCCGUUGACUCUGGAACUCCACCAGGGCGAGCGGUGGUAGCGGAGUCGACGGGGGAGCCGCGGCUGUCGAUCCCAUGCCGUGAGGACCCAAGGUAAGUCGAAAUAAGAUACGUUGACUUCAGCUACGCUAUUCCCGUAGCUGAAGUUGUGUAUCUUACAUCGACCCUCCCCCACCCCCCACAGGGUAGACCAGCCCUUUGGUGCACUCUUCCAACUUGCUUUCUCUAAUAGAAACAUAAAGCAGCAUGGGCCCUUUUAUAACAAACAAAAUAACUUUCAAAAUAUUCUACUGCACAUACACAUCCUGGGGAGAGGCUGAAAGAAAAGACAGGUGUUUAUCAACUCACUUAAUUCACUCCUUGAAGAUGCUCAGAUACUAUGGUGGUGAGAGUGGUACAAGAACCUGAAUAGACUAACCCAGAAUAUCUUGCAGCUGAUAAUUCUCCAAACAUAUAAAGUUUGUAUGGCUUAUAGUACUGCAUCAUAAAGCAAAGAUGAUAUAACAUGUAAUCUCAAAAGCACAUGGUGCAAAUGUGUUCCAUGACUCUACAGAAAU